rnacentral:rRNA from 1 species
GACGAACGCUGGCGGCGCGCUUAACACAUGCAAGUCGAACGGAAAGGCCUGCUUUCCCUUGUGGAUUGCGGGUACUCGAGUGGCGAACGGGUGAGUAACACGUGAGUGAUCUGCCCCCAACUUGGGUAUAAGCCUGGGAAACUGGGUCUAAUUCCCGAUAGGACUGCAGGGUGGGGCCUGUGGUGGAAAACGAUUUUCUAGUGGUUGGGGAUGAGCUCGCGGCCUAUCAGCUUGUUGGUGGGGUAAUGGCCUACCAAGGCGGCGACGGGUAGCCGGCCUGAGAGGGUGGACGGCCACAUUGGGACUGAGAUACGGCCCAGACUCCUACGGGAGGCAGCAGUGGGGAAUAUUGCACAAUGGGCGGAAGCCUGAUGCAGCGACGCCGCGUGGGGGAUGACGGCCUUCGGGUUGUAAACUCCUUUCGACCGCGAGGAAGCCACCUGGUUGGAAGGGUGGUGACGGUAGUGGUAGAAGAAGCACCGGCUAACUACGUG